CAGCUGUGCAUUCUCCCAAUUCAACUAUCCACAUAGAAAAAAAAAUGGUCAAGUAGUAUGCAUUUUGUUAUUCAACAGAUAUUUACUGAAUAACUAGAAGAUGCUAGAUGUUAUUCUAUUCAUUUUAUACCACUCUUCAAAUUACGGAUGUUUCCCCACCGAAACCGACCCUCACAAAAGAAAAACUAUCUGGGGCCUUGGAUCCUCUUUCAAAGGCUCAAGCUGGCUUUGGGGAAGUAAAGGAAACCAGAGAAGAAGAGGCUGAAAGAAUUGGUUUCCACCGUGACCUUUGAACCCUCGGGCGAGUUGUCAGCCUCACUGAGGAUGAGUGUACUCCAUAUCAAGUGAGGUCACUUUACUCGCAAGCUUGUUGUGAGGACUGAAUGAAACCUUUUCUUUUUUCUUGGAGUUUCAGAGCAACGUCCCUGAGCCCAGCCCCACACUGGCUUGAGCCCUGUCGUCGGUCAAGACACGGUGCUUUCUCCCCUCCCCUCUGCACUCCAGCUUACUCUGCAGUCAGGAGGUGGCACCACGAUCCCCUUUAAGACUUUGCCACUUGGGCCAGCUGCGCCCCUGUGAAAUUCCCUGUUUCUAUUGCAGGCCACAAGGACGAGCUGAGAAAUGGCUUCCAGUCACCAUCUAGAUUAGAAAGCCUAUAUUUCAAAUAUAGAUAUAUCAAUUAUGCCUGUAAAAAGACAUUAAAUCCCACAGGGCUGUAAUUCCUAGACUCUACGAAUUUCAUCUUGCACCAAAUUUUAUUAUUUCAUUUAUAAUUCGGAUUCUUCAAAUCUAAGAGUGCCUGGCUCAAAAUUAAAAUACCUACAACUAUGCCAAAACUGGACUCUUUAAUUGCCUUACUGGAACCAGUAGCUGAUUCAAAGCAAAACGAAACAAAAUUCCUCCUUUCUCUGAUUUAGUGAAUCAAUGAUCUAACUGAACUCAUUUUUGGACUGAGUUUGCGGCACUUGCAGCCCUGAGGGACACAUUCCCCCACCACACUGAGCCUGCACUCCCAUCAAUGCAAAUGAACAUUUUGCUUAUUCAGAUUGGGGGGGUGAAGGAAGUCACAAAAGGGUUAAUACAUAUGGCAUUUCAUUGUAAUAUGUACUCACUACUAACUAAAUUAAAAGAGAUGUGAGUUAUUAAAAACUCCAUCUUAAGAAAGUAACAGAAA
rnacentral:lncRNA from 1 species